rnacentral:tRNA from 1 species
UAUAGUUUAGUAUAAGAUGUACUUGAGUUUUUGAAGCUUAAAGAGAUAGUUUAAUCCUAUCAAUUGUAA